rnacentral:rRNA from 1 species
CAACAGGGAUUGCCCUAGUAACGGCGAGUGAAGCGGCAACAGCUCAAAUUUGAAAUCUGGCUCUCGGGCCCGAGUUGUAAUUUGUAGAGGAUACUUUUGAUGCGGUGCCUUCCGAGUUCCCUGGAACGGGACGCCAUAGAGGGUGAGAGCCCCGUCUGGUUGGAUGCCAAAUCUCUGUAAAGUUCCUUCAACGAGUCGAGUAGUUUGGGAAUGCUGCUCUAAAUGGGAGGUAUAUGUCUUCUAAAGCUAAAUACCGGCCAGAGACCGAUAGCGCACAAGUAGAGUGAUCGAAAGAUGAAAAGCACUUUGAAAAGAGAGUUAAAAAGUACGUGAAAUUGUUGAAAGGGAAGCGUUUAUGACCAGACUUGGGCUUGGUUAAUCAUCUGGGGUUCUCCCCAGUGCACUUUUCCAGUCCAGGCCAGCAUCAGUUUUCCCCGGGGGAUAAAGGCGGCGGGAAUGUGGCUCUCUUCGGGGAGUGUUAUAGCCCACCGUGUAAUACCCUGGGGGGGACUGAGGUUCGCGCAUCUGCAAGGAUGCUGGCGUAAUGGUCAUCAACGACCCGUCUUGAAACACGGACCAAGGAGUCGUCUUCGUAUGCGAGUGUUCGGGUGUCAAACCCCUACGCGUAAUGAAAGUGAACGCAGGUGAGAGCUUCGGCGCAUCAUCGACCGAUCCUGAUGUUCUCGGAUGGAUUUGAGUAAGAGCAUACGGGGCCGGACCCGAAAGAAGGUGAACUAUGCCUGUAUAGGGUGAAGCCAGAGGAAACUCUGGUGGAGGCUCGCAGCGGUUCUGACGUGCAAAUCGAUCGUCAAAUAUGGGCAUGGGGGCGAAAGACUAAUCGAACCUUCUAGUAGCUGGUUUCCGCCGAAGUUUCCCUCAGGAUAGCAGUGUUGAACUCAGUUUUAUGAGGUAAAGCGAAUGAUUAGGGACUCGGGGGCGCUAUUUAGCCUUCAUCCAUUCUCAAACUUUAAAUAUGUAAGAAGCUCUUGUUGCUUAAUUGAACGUGAGCAUUCGAAUGUAUCAACACUAGUGGGCCAUUUUUGGUAAGCAGAACUGGCGAUGCGGGAUGAACCGAACGCGAGGUUAAGGUGCCAGAGUAGACGCUCAUCAGACACCACAAAAGGUGUUAGUACAUCUUGACAGCAGGACGGUGGCCAUGGAAGUCGGAAUCCGCUAAGGACUGUGUAACAACUCACCUGCCGAAUGUACUAGCCCUGAAAAUGGAUGGCGCUCAAGCGUCUCACCCAUACCUCGCCCUCAGGGUAGAAACGAUGCCCUGAGGAGUAGGCGGACGUGGAGGUCAGUGACGAAGCCUAGGGCG